rnacentral:misc_RNA from 1 species
GAUGAAGAACGCAGCGAAAUGCGAUAAGUAAUGUGAAUUGCAGAAUUCAGUGAAUCAUCGAAUCUUUGAACGCACAUUGCGCCCCCUGGUAUUCCGGGGGGCAUGCCUGUCCGAGCGUCAUUACAACCCUCAAGCUCAGCUUGGUGUUGGGCCCCGCCGCCCCGGCGGGCCCUAAAGUCAGUGGCGGUGCCGUCCGGCUCCGAGCGUAGUAAUUCUUCUCGCUCUGGAGGUCCGGUCGUGUGCUCGCCAGCAACCCCCAAUUUUUUUCAGGUUGACCUCGGAUCAGGUAGGGAUACCCGCUGGACUUAAGCAUAUCAAUAAGCGGAGGA